rnacentral:rRNA from 1 species
UACAGAGGUCCCAAGCGUUGUUCGGAUUCACUGGGCGUAAAGGGUGCGCAGGUGGCGCUUCAAGUUUGAUGUGAAAGCUUCGGGCUUAACCCGGAAAUGGCAUUGAAUACUGGAGUGCUGGAGGUUUGGAGGGGGGACUGGAAUUCUCGGUGUAGCAGUGAAAUGCGUAGAUAUCGAGAGGAACACCAGUGGCGAAGGCGAGUCCCUGGACAACACCUGACACUGAGGCACGAAAGCUAGGGGAGCGAACGGG